rnacentral:rRNA from 1 species
UAGUUCCUACGGGGCGCAGCAGUAGGGAAUCUUCCGCAAUGGACGAAAGUCUGAUGGAGCAACGCCGCGUGAGUGAAGAAGGGUUUCGGCUCGUAAAGCUCUGUUGGUAGUGAAGAAAGAUAGAGGUAGUAACUGGCCUUUAUUUGACGGUAAUUACUUAGAAAGUCACGGCUAACUACGUGCCAGCAGCCGCGGUAAUACGUAGGUGGCAAGCGUCGUCCGGAUUUUUUGGG